ensembl:lncRNA
GGAAGCGUCUGGCUUGUAUCCGCAGACAUGAUUUCCCAACCUUUCUUAAUUACAUUGUGCAGUACAACGUGAAGAGGUGUCAGAUAGCCAGAGAAGCAGAUCUUUCCUAAUGAAUGAAAACAGAUGGGCUGGACUGCAAGUUGCAGAGACUGCCAAGAGAUUUGGGGAGGCGUAGAAAAAGAGGGAAUACCGAGACAGAACAUAUACAAUAUGAGAAUAAGAAUAAGGACAGAAAUGAAAUGAGCAAGAAAAUAAGAGGACGUAGAGAGAGUGAGAGGAAGUAAAGACGGAGAAUAUGUUCAGUCUCAUGAGAAUAUCCCAACAGAAUAAGGAAGCGAUACCAGAUCCACGAGCCUCUAGGGAUCUUCUGACAGCACUGGGAAAUAUCUCUCUGACCACUGUCUCAUUCCAGCUGUAAUUUGUCAUUCAAGAGCAUUUGAGAGAGACGGCCAUUGUUGCUGUGAUUGAUAGGACGGUCUCAUGCUGAAAUGUGAAAAUAAAGACGAAAAGCUACAAAAACGUCAAACCACCACAUGAGGAUCAAAGAGCCUGUCUGGAUAAAACACCACAGGAGACCGUCAGUGGGUUCUGGGCUGAAAUAUUUGAGCUCCUUAAAUACCAAGUGUGUCAUGAGAGCGGAGAGUGGAAAUGACUGAGCCAUUCUGCCCUUUAAUUAGUUCAACACUGAUCAACUCCACACAGUCUCUAUUCAGCACGACUCUCUCAGACCACUGCAGAACACUGGGAAAUGAGCACAGCACAAGCUUUGAGUGUUUGUGGAGGAGUUUUCAAAAGAAAGGUAUGAACUCUUUGUUUUUUUUUUUGUUUUUUUUUUUCAGAAUUUCACACAUUUUAGCUUUUGUGUGGAGUCUUUGCUGCUGCACUUUGUCCUUCAGUCAAUAUCUGUAAAGGCACAUGCCUUUCAAGGAAUAGUUCACCUAAAAAUUAAAUGUACUCACAUUCAUGCCAUCUAAGAUGUAGAUGAGUUUGUUUAUUCAUCAGAAAAAAUUUGGAGAAAUGUAUUAUUACAUCACUUGCUCACCAAUGGAUCCUCUGCAGUGAAUGGUAAGAAGUCAAAAAAAAAAAAAAAAAAUUUAAAUGAUAAAAGCAUUAGAAUAAUCCACAAGUAAUACAUACGACUCCAGUCCGUCAAUUAACAUCGUAUGACAUAAAAAGCUGCAUGUUUGUAAGAAACAAAUUCAUCAUUUAGCUUUUUAACUUAAACCAUAGCUUCUGGCUUAUGACUCCAUAAUCCAUAAUACAGCUUUGUCCAGUGAAAAAGUACAUGCAAUUUUGUCUUCUUACAUCAAAAUCCACCAAAAUAUUUGUUUAGAACUGUUUUGAAUUGCAUUUGCUUGUAAACGGUGCUUGAUUUGUGCAUAUUUCUCUCCUGAUUUAGACAAGAUGACUUAUGGACGAGACAACAUGUGACAACUUACUCCAAACUGAAAUUUCUAAAAACAAUGCAGGCUUUAUGCGUAAGUUGAUUCUUGCCUGUAUGCAUCUCAGUAUCCUCACAUUUUAUUCAACAGGUAUUAAACAAAAAAUAUAUGAUGGCUGAUGCCCCGAUGCCUUAUCGUUACUGAGAUAUAGUGCUUGUGACAACUAGCCCCAGUCUUAUUCUUAAUCUUAUUCCAUUUUUAUAUGGAAGAAUGAAACGUAAACACAUGUAUCCCUCGGCAAAGCCACAAAACACAAUGUCUCUCAGUGAAGUAACUGAGUAAAACAAUGUACACAAGAGUUUUGCCACAGCGAUGCCUUCAGGAGUGUCUUGUUUGCCCAAAUCCAGCUGUCUUAUCUUCUUCAGAGCAAACACCUUUGCACUAACUUCUCUAAGCUUACAGAGACACAGCUACCCGCUCCGCUCUGAAUGUGACAUGGACUUUGCUGGUCAUCUUCCUCUGCAUCUUGAAGAAUCUGGUGUGACUUACACCUCUGCUUGAAGCUGUGUAUCCCUGUGGCUUCAUCAGUCAAACACUCAUUAGCUGCUCCUGUGGUGACGACACACCAUCAGCCAGAGGAUUUCCCCUCACCUUUUCUGUGUCAGAGCACAAGAACAAGACCCUCUGGAUCAAUACUCCCGCUCAAUGCCGAGAGAACUGAUUACAUUACAUAAUGCCUCACCUCAGAGGAACCCAGACCUGUUUUAGCUACAGCUGCACGGUAUCACAGCGUCAUAUGACUUUAGAUCUGCUUUAUAUGAUUUACUGUUUUAA